ACCACCACCACCACCACCACCACCACCACCACCACCCCCACCGUGAGCUCUAUAGACACUGCUUUAAUUUUCAGAAGUAACUGAUGCAAAACUUCACAACUUUAUUAUAAACAGGAAAAAAAAACGACACAGAAGAUACAUGGAGGCAGUAGUGGCCUGUUCAUCAAGCCUUCCAGACCUCCAGGUGGGAAGAUGGAGGUAGGUGAGCCCAGCCUGCCAACCACCAACUCUGAAAGCCUCUACUGCCAUCUACUGACCAGUGGGGGAAUUCAUGGGCAAAAUGCCAAGAAGAUACCCAAGGAACCCUACAUCCCACCGCAGAGAUAUAUGCACGCUCGUGUUCAUAAAGGCACUAUUCACAAUAGCUAAGAAAUGGAACCAACCUAGAUAUCUGCCAACAGAUGUGGAGAUAAAGAAAAUGUGGGAUAUACGUGCAAUGGAAUUCCAUCGUGAAGAACUACACAACCACUUUAUUGCAAUUGUGGCUUUCUUCAUACUAACCUGUUUUUCUUAAAAGAAGGACUCAGACUUGAAUUGUCACAACUCCCUGUGAAUGAAAGAUGUCCUUGGACAAACCGCAUUAACGGAUGUUUUGUGCCUCUGCCCUUGAAAACAACAAUUAGCCUCACCCAGCUCUUAUCAUCAGCAACAGACCCUUCUCUACCCUCAUCUGCACCAGAAACACCACUGUCUCAAGAGAGACCUCCUUGGGGUGUUGGCGAACAAAAGUGCCUGUCACAUCUGGUCACUCUCCCCUGACAUGGCCUGCCCUUGGGAAACAUGAAUGAACUGUGAACACUUGAGCCUCUUGAAGUCUAGAAAGACGGCCACUGCUCUCUUGAAACGGUUGUGCAAUCCCAUGCUGCUAUCAGGGCUGACAAGGAGGCCACUCCUAGCCUUGGACCCUUCAGCUAGGUUCAACUCCAGGUCAAGUCAGGGGCCCCCAGCAGCUUAGGGGCACAGGAUCCACAGGAAGAAAUUCCAGGACUUUGCCAGAAGCUAACAACAGUUCCCAGCUGUUCCCAGCCGCCUCCUGCCAUUCAUGCCUUUUAGAGUGGGGGUCUUUGCACAAAUUUCAUCAGAAGGAGGGUCAGAUGGACGCUUUUGCCUCUGGGUCAGGGCACAGGACAGGCCAUGGAGAAACAACAGCCUCUUUGUUGCUGUCAGCUCCUGCACAGACCCUUGACAGAGACCUCCCUCUUCCUGGAUCUCUUGGGGACCAUGACACCAGUUGUACUGCUAUGGCUAGCCUUAUGUAGUGACUUUAAGCCUCUCCUGCAAGCUCAAGGAGGGCCGAUAGCCUUGCUCUGCAGUUCCUCUGGGACACAUGCUACAGAACUCUCUUAUCAACGCAGUUCUUGAUCAGGGCACUGUUGAGUGGUAGCAAAGCAAUGUUCACCUUAGAAUAAACGUUGCUUGCCGUGGCUUCUUCUGCUCUCUUCCUCACACAGCCCACCAUAUGCCACCUCACUCCCGCCCCGUCAAACUGUUGGACCUCUUUUUAUUCAUCAUCUAGGACUCAGUUUUUAAGUCCCCACUCAGAUAUACCCUUCCUUCUAAUAUAUCCAUCCAUUCAGUGUCUACUCUUCCUUUGUGGACACCAGUCACUCACAACUGACAUUUGUAUGCACAUGAAUUUGAAUAGAGGGCACGCCCCCACUGGAACUUCAGUCUCAUGUUGGUUCACAUAGUGCCUGAUACACAGUAAGAAAUCAUGGAAGAGUUGUGGGAAAGAAUGAAUAAAUUAAAAAAUGACUUAAUCUUCAGAAUCCUAGAGGAGAAAUGUUUAUAUGUAUAAACGCUAUGAAACCCUUAGUGUAUGGCAUCUCAAUUGUUUCUUUUGUUAUUUGCUAUGUACAUGUUUGUUUGUGUGUGUGUAUGUGUGU
rnacentral:lncRNA from 1 species